UACAGAGGUCUCAAGCGUUGUUCGGAUUCAUUGGGCGUAAAGGGCGCGUAGGCGGGAUGGCAAGUCGGUCGUGAAAUCCUUCGGCUCAACCGAAGAACGUCGGCCGAUACUGCCGUUCUUGAGGGAUGCAGAGGAGAUUGGAAUUCCCGGUGUAGCGGUGAAAUGUGUAGAGAUCGGGAGGAACACCGGUGGCGAAGGCGGGUCUCUGGGCAUCUCCUGACGCUGAGGCGCGAAAGCGUGGGGAGCAAACGGG
rnacentral:rRNA from 1 species